rnacentral:sRNA from 2 species
CCCUAGCCCCGAUAGAAGUGGAAAUCCUUUUGCUUUUUUCUUUAAAAAGCAAAAGAUUGAAACGAAUAGCGGGAUUAGCU